rnacentral:rRNA from 1 species
GACGAACGCUGGCGGCGUGCUUAACACAUGCAAGUCGAACGAUGAACCCGGAGCUUGCUCCGCUGGAUCAGUGGCGAACGGGUGAGUAACACGUGGGCAACCUGCCCCUCACUUCGGGAUAACUCCGGGAAACCGGGGCUAAUACCGGAUAUGACCUCCUUGGGCAUCCUUGGAGGUGGAAAGUUUUUCGGUGAGGGAUGGGCCCGCGGCCUAUCAGCUUGUUGGUGAGGUAGUGGCUCACCAAGGCGACGACGGGUAGCCGGCCUGAGAGGGCGACCGGCCACACUGGGACGGAGAAACGGCCCGGGCUCCUACGUGAGGCAGCAGUGGGGAAUAUUGCGCAAUGGGCGAAAGCCGGACGCAGCAACGCCGCGUGCGGGAUGACGGCCUUCGGGUUGUAAACCGCUUUCAGCAGGGAAGAAGCCGCAGGGUGACGGUACCUGCAGAAGAAGCACCGGCUAACUACGUGCCAGCCGCCGCCGUAA